rnacentral:rRNA from 1 species
AUUGAACGCUGGCGGCAGGCCUAACACAUGCCAGUCGAGCGGAUGAAGGGAGCUUGCUCCUGGAUUCAGCGGCGGACGGGUGAGUAAUGCCUAGGAAUCUGCCUGGUAGUGGGGGAUAACGUCCGGAAACGGGCGCUAAUACCGCAUACGUCCUGAGGGAGAAAGUGGGGGAUCUUCGGACCUCACGCUAUCAGAUGAGCCUAGGUCGGAUUAGCUAGUUGGUGGGGUAAAGGCCUACCAAGGCGACGAUCCGUAACUGGUCUGAGAGGAUGAUCAGUCACACUGGAACUGAGACACGGUCCAGACUCCUACGGGAGGCAGCAGUGGGGAAUAUUGGACAAUGGGCGAAAGCCUGAUCCAGCCAUGCCGCGUGUGUGAAGAAGGUCUUCGGAUUGUAAAGCACUUUAAGUUGGGAGGAAGGGCAGUAAGUUAAUACCUUGCUGUUUUGACGUUACCAACAGAAUAAGCACCGCCUAACUUCGUG